GUUUCAAUUCCUUACAGGUAGUCUAUAAAC
rnacentral:other from 1 species